AAUUAAUUAAUAAGCUUUUAUUAAGCAUUUGUUUUGAAAACUUAAGAAAGAAUAUUAUAAUUCUAUUAAUUU
rnacentral:tRNA from 1 species